UUCAAAUAUAAUGUGAAACAAACACUAAAUUGAGCCAAAAAUGCAAUUGGGCAAUAUGGAGUGUGUUGCAGCAAAAAGAAUUGCACCUUGUCUUUUCUUGAAACUUGAGGCCAUGCUUCCGCAUCUUACUUUUCUUUAGUAGCACAAGGAAAAAUUUUAGCUUCCCUUCCGCUUCAAGUUUUCACAUCCAUGUAGAAAACUGAAAAAUGAAUGCCUAUGAUAUAAUCUGCAAAAUUCUCUCAUUGGAAACGAUAUAUAAAGCAGCAAGGAGCAUGAACCAGCCAG
rnacentral:misc_RNA from 1 species